GCUUCCCUCUUUCUUCGUGCCUAAUACAUGCAAGUCGAGCGAACAGACGAGGAGCUUGCUCCUCUGACGUUAGCGGCGGACGGGUGAGUAACACGUGGAUAACCUACCUAUAAGACUGGGAUAACUUCGGGAAACCGGAGCUAAUACCGGAUAAUAUAUUGAACCGCAUGGUUCAAUAGUGAAAGACGGUUUUGCUGUCACUUAUAGAUGGAUCCGCGCCGCAUUAGCUAGUUGGUAAGGUAACAGCUUACCAAGGCAACGAUGCGUAGCCGACCUGAGAGGGUGAUCGGCCACACUGGAACUGAGACACGGUCCAGACUCCUACGGGAGGCAGCAGUAGGGAAUCUUCCGCAAUGGGCGAAAGCCUGACGGAGCAACGCCGCGUGAGUGAUGAAGGUCUUCGGAUCGUAAAACUCUGUUAUUAGGGAAGAACAAAUGUGUAAGUAACUAUGCACGUCUUGACGGUACCUAAUCAGAAAGCCACGGCUAACUACGUG
rnacentral:rRNA from 1 species